rnacentral:tRNA from 1 species
UCCCCGAUAGCUCAGUUGGUAAAGAAUCUGCCUGCAAUGCAGGAGACCCUGGUUUGAUUCCUGGGUCAGGAA